rnacentral:sRNA from 1 species
UUGACAAAAAAACAGGGUGGCGCAGUAUUCUAGUCAGUACUGAUGAUUCUGAAGACGGGCCUAAAAAUCCGUUUAAGGGCACAUCGAUGAAGUUCCUUGUGUCGGCUUGCUACGCCCAGUGGUGGGUUGAUGCUGGGAGUUAAGGCUUAGGGGCGAUCCGCAAUGGCAUGCGGGCGUUGACCCCUUUUCCGUGGAGACCCUUACUUGUGGAAGAAAAGUCAAGCUUUUGCUUGCCACCUCGACUACGAAAAGGGAUUAAACCUGUUAUGCGGUGUCUUUAUGAUGGCUGUGAACAGUGUAGCCUGCCUUGAGUGAAAUCCGGUGAAUAACGGAUCAGAUGCUUCAUGUAUUGGCCGAUAUAUAAGCAUUAUUGCUGUUUGAAACCUUUUUUGCAAAAGAGGCUAGGAAUCAUUUUGACUGCUGGGGAAAACCCCUAGACUGUUCUUAAAAGUGGUUUAUUGGGGAUUAAAGUGUGGACUAAGUGGUAAUCAGGCCCCGUAAACGGAGACGUACGGUGAUGUGUUUAAAGGGAAACCACUGGUUUGGCGACAUUCCAGCACAUGUCAGGGAAAUCCUGCCUGACCUAAGCCGCAAAAUUUACUCAAUAAACUGCCACCUGUUUUUCUAAUAAA